CGCGCAGGCGGCCUUUCAAGUCAGGGGUGAAAGCCCGGAGCUCAACUCCGGAAUUGCCUUUGAAACUGUGAGGCUUGAGUACGGGAGAGGUGAGUGGAAUUCCCAGUGUAGAGGUGAAAUUCGUAGAUAUUGGGAAGAACACCGGUGGCGAAGGCGGCUCACUGGCCCGUAACUGACGCUCAGGCGCGACAGCGUGGGGAUCAAACAGGAUUAGAUACCCUGGUAGUCCACGCCGUAAACGAUGAACGCUAGCCGUUGGCAAGCUUGCUUGUCAGUGGCGCAGCUAACGCAUUAAGCGUUCCGCCUGGGGAGUACGGCCGCAAGGUUGAA
rnacentral:rRNA from 1 species